rnacentral:snRNA from 1 species
CUAGCUCUGGGUUCGAGU